UCGUAGGUGGUGCGGCAAGUUGGGAGUGAAAUCUCUGGGCUUAACCCAGAGGCUGCUUUCAAACUGCCGCGCUCGAGUGCGAGAGAGGUCAGUGGAAUUGCAGGUGUAGCGGUGAAAUGCGUAGAUAUCUGCAGGAACACCCGUGGCGAAGGCGGCUGACUGGAUCGCAACUGACACUGAGGAACGAAAGCUAGGGGAGCAAACAGGAUUAGAUACCCUGGUAGUCCUAGCCCUAAACCAUCAGAACUUGGGGUGGCCCGCGUAGGCGGGUCGUCCCGUAGCUAACGCGUUAAGUUCUGCGCCUGGGGAGUACGGUCGCAAGACUGAAACUCAAAGGAAUUGACGGGGGCCCGCACAAGCGGUGGAACAUGUGGUUCAAUUCGACGCAACGCGAAGAACCUUACCUGGGCUUGAACCGCUACUGACCAACGGUAGAAAUAUCGUCUUCCCGCAAGGGACAGUAGUAGAGGUGCUGCAUGGCUGUCGUCAGCUCGUGCCGUGAGGUGUUGGGUUAAGUCCCGCAACGAGCGCAACCCUUAUUCGUAGUU
rnacentral:rRNA from 1 species